rnacentral:rRNA from 1 species
UACAGAGGUCUCAAGCGUUGUUCGGAUUCAUUGGGCGUAAAGGGCGCGUAGGCGGCGGGGUAAGUCGGGUGUGAAAUUUCGGAGCUUAACUCCGAAACUGCAUUCGAUACUGCGGUGCUCGAGGACUGGAGAGGAGACUGGAAUUCAUGGUGUAGCAGUGAAAUGCGUAGAGAUCAUGAGGAAGACCAGUGGCGAAGGCGGGUCUCUGGACAGUUCCUGACACUGAGGCACGAAGGCCAGGGGAGCAAACGGG